AGGAACAUCUGCGCCUGGCCCAAGUCCAGAGCAGGAGGAGGAGAGAGAGAGGAGGGGAGAGUCUUGCCCUGACAAGGGGACAGCUGGAGAGCAAGGCAGCCAGACUGUUGCUGAGGGGGCCUCAGGGGCCCAUGCUGGAGUUUCCUCCACCUCUUACAAAAUGAAAAUGGUCAUCAAGCGCAAAUAGAAUCCACAGUGAGCUGUGUCCAGUGAAGUGCAACCAGCAGGCCCAACAUGAAGAAAAUACCAAAAAAAUGAGAAGAAAAUACAAAGAAAGCAAGACACGAAGUUCAAAAUAACAAUAAUCAUAUCCUCAUUGACUCCGCUUAUCAAAAGUGAUGGGUUAAUUGCUCUUGUGGGUGUGAACUUUAAUUCAGAGAAUGCAUUGUGAAAUUUGUAUCCAGUAGUGCCUCAAUAUUUUAAAUGGAUGUGAUCUCUAUCACCACAGUAAUUUUAAGUACAAGUUUGCCAGGUCUAGAAUUAAAAUCUUUGAUUUUAUUAAUGACUUCCUGAUGAUGUAAAUUCCAGAUUGUUACCAUUAACUUUGGGGAAUAAACUAUAUAAUCUCU